rnacentral:lncRNA from 1 species
UUUGAUUGUGAUUGGGUAUUUUAAUUUGAUUUGGAUAGAAAUACUCGACAUUGGAUCGAGGUUUUAAAUUUGUGUUUUGAAUGAAGUGGAUUUUAUUUUAGUGUAUUGUUCUUCUACUCGAUAAAAAUCGAAUAGGUCUCAUUGUAAGAAAGCCCAAGAGUAAGCUAUGUGAGGUUGAUGGCGAUGCUUUAAAAGCGAUCGACUUACAAGGGUGUUUGAAAAUGGACUCGAUAUUAAAUCAAGAAUUGUGUGAUUUUAG